rnacentral:lncRNA from 1 species
UGAGCCUCUGGCUCCUUAUUGAUAAGAUGGACAUGAUCACAACCACUUUAUAGAAUUAGUGUGAGGACUAAUUGAGAGAGUAAUAUGUUAGACCUUUGCUGCACGGUGGGAGCUCAACAAAUGGUUGUUGUAAUAGUCAUCAUCAUCGUCACUAUCAUCAUGUUUCAUCCUUAGUGUUCUGCGCCAGCUCCUGCCUGAGAUUUCUAGCCUGCUGGGCUGCCCUGAGGAUUUCUGACUUGCCAGCCCCAUAAUCACGUAAGCCAAUUCCUUAAGAAGAGAGAAAUCAUACAUCAUUCGAGAGCUAGAAAAGAUGACUGAGAUCACACU